CGCGUAGGCGGUUUAACAAGUCAGAUGUGAAAGCCCGGGGCUUAACCCCGGAAGUGCAUUUGAAACUGUUAGACUAGAGUGCAGUAGAGGUUGGUGGAAUUCCCAGUGGAGAGGUGAAAUUCGUAGAUAUUGGGAGGAACACCGGUGGCGAAGGCGGCCAACUGGGCUGUAACUGACGCUGAGGCGCGAGAGCGUGGGUAGCAAACAGGAUUAGAUACCCUGGUAGUCCACGCUGUAAACUAUGGAUGCUCGCUGUGGCUGGUAUUGACCCCGGCCGUAGCCAAGUUAACACGUUAAGUAUCCCGCCUGGGAAGUACGGUCGCAAGAUUAAAA
rnacentral:rRNA from 1 species